rfam:Myotis brandtii contig210180, whole genome shotgun sequence.
GGUGGUUCUCAGGUGACACACCCCGGAAGCGUGCUCCCUCCUCUUUGGUUUUGGGUGCGUCACCCAAGAACCGCC